UAGACCUACGGGGGGCAGCAGUGAGGAAUAUUGGUCAAUGGGCGGGAGCCUGAACCAGCCAAGUCGCGUGAGGGAAGACGGUCCUACGGAUUGUAAACCUCUUUUGCCGGGGAGCAACGGGGUCCUUGCGAGGGCCCGAUGAGAGUACCCGGAGAAAAAGCAUCGGCUACCUCCGUGCCAGCAGCCGCGGUAAUACGGAGGAUGCGAGCGUUAUCCGGAUUUAUUGGGUUUAAAGGGUGCGUCGGCGGUCAGUUAAGUCAGCG
rnacentral:rRNA from 1 species